AUUGAACGCUGGCGGCAUGCUUUACACAUGCCAGUCGAACGGUAACAGGCCGCAAGGUGCUGACGAGUGGCGAACGGGUGAGUAAUGCAUCGGAACGUGCCCAGUCGUGGGGGAUAACUACUCGAAAGAGUAGCUAAUACCGCAUACGAUCUAUGGAUGAAAGCGGGGGACCGUAAGGCCUCGCGCGAUUGGAGCGGCCGAUGUCAGAUUAGGUAGUUGGUGGGGUAAAGGCUCACCAAGCCAACGAUCUGUAGCUGGUCUGAGAGGACAACCAGCCACACUGGGACUGAGACACGGCCCAGACUCCUACGGGGGGCAGCAGUGGGGAAUUUUGGACAAUGGGCGCAAGCCUGAUCCAGCAAUGCCGCGUGCAGGAAGAAGGCCUUCGGGUUGUAAACUGCUUUUGUACGGAACGAAACGGCUCUGGUUAAUACCCGGGGCUAAUGACGGUACCGUAAGAAUAAGCACCGGCUAACUACGUG
rnacentral:rRNA from 1 species